CCUAGAUGCUGGCUCAAGACUGACUAGCUCGUCAACACGUGUAAGGACAAGUGGACAACUAAUUUUUCAAGAUUCUACAACCUUUUCAAAAAGGUAAUAAUUGCUUCUACCUUUUUCAAAACAAUUAUUACACAUUACUUAUUCUUUUAUUUUCCUUUUCUUUAUCAUCAUAUCUAUUGCCAUCAAAACUGACUGUUGUAUCUAGAGGUGUACCCGAGUCAAACUGAGUCGAGCUUGGCAUUGCUCGACUCGGUCCUCGAGCCUAACUGGCCAGCUCGGCUUGAUUCGAUCAGCAGCUCGGGCCAGUUCGAGCCGAGUUCGAGCCAAGAUCGAGCUUCUGCGACAUUUUCUCAAACACAUGGAGUGCACCUUCAAUUUCUCACAGAAUGUAAAGCAGCAACAUCGGUUUACAGGUAUUUCAUCAAACGCUCAGUAGGCAACAUAAAAAUCAAGAUACACAGGUAUUUAUUUCAUAUCCAUACCUUCGUCGCCACCAGCUGACACUUCGUUGAGUCAUUUCAUCAAACACUUGUUGAGCAACAUCAAUAUCAAAAUAACCGAGUCACCGAACUAGUUUGAUCCGAGUUCGAUUUGAGUUGGGGUUCGAUCCUAGUCGAGUCGAGCUCGGGCAAGCUUGAACUCGGCUCGAAAUUUUUUCGAGCUAAAAAAAUCAGCUCGACUCGGCUCGAACUCAGUUUUGAACCAAGUUGAAUCAAGUUUUUUCAAGUUGAAUUGAGCGAGCUAACCGAGCUAACUCGGUUCUUGUACAGCUCUAGUUGUAUCAUUGUAUGGUGGAGAUCAUCGCAGAAAGGCAUCAUUUUGGAAUUUUCUACCAUGCUAAAAACCUCUAUCAACAAAGCUUGAAGGAGAGUUUACCUUAUUGCUGUGAAAGAAGAAGUGGAAAGGAGAUGUGUGGAAUGAGCAACAAAAAAACAAAAAGAAAAAAGGAAAAAAAAAGAAGGGAAGAUGUAAUAAAUACAUUAAAUACAUCAGGAAUCAUCUUUACUUCGAAAAGGUAUAUAUUAGGAACUUUUAAAAAGGGUGUAGCUUUUUUGGAAAGUGAGUUGUCCACUUGUCCUUAGAUUGUUGUGAUGAGCUAGGCAUUUUCAACCUCGAGCCCACAUUUAGGCCCAAUAAUUGAACCCACCUGAUACCCAAGCCCACAUGCAGCCCAUAGUCAAGUCAGGGUUGAUGCCUAAGCCCGCAUGAGUCCCAUAGUUUGAGUCAGGGUUGACGCCCAAGCUUGUAGUUGAGUCAAGCCUGGCGUAGGCCACAUUAACUAAGGCCCAAACCUAACCAAUAUAAGAUCAGGUUUGAGCUUUUAAACCUACCUUUAGGCGAACAUUCUGAUAAGACCCAUUUGUAGGCCUAUCUUACAUACGGAUCUUCCACAGGCCAUUUCUUCAUCAUUCGGACAGAUUUUUUAUGCAUCAGAACAUGCGGGAUCAUCUGAUCAAUGUGCAUGUAAUGGGAGUGGAUUAAGAAAUUGGAUGAUAUCAUUAUCAACACAAAUUGUCAAGCCACUUGGAGCUCGCCAAUGGUAAAAAGGGCAUUUUUCCACCAAUACAAUUGCCCAUUCAUCAAACAUGACAAGAAGGGCUGGUGGGUUCACACAGGAGCUAAUCGGCACAUUGCUAACUCAAAAGACCUGUUUGAGACCCUUGUGGAAUUCAAAGCUGGAGAAAAUCAAAUUUAAAUGGAAACGAACACCCACUCUUAACAUAUUAGGUGUGGGAACCUGGAGAUUGAAAUGCAAAAAACUGGACGUUGUGCUAACUGAUGUAUUCUAUGCUGCUACUAUAAGACUUUGUAUUUGUCUCGCUUCUGGUUCACAAAGGCUUUGAUGUUUAUUUCCAAUCAUUGAAAUUAUCCAUGGAGGAGCAUGGUCAUGUUGUUAACCGGGGCCAUCUAACUCAUGGUGAAAACUUAUUAAUGCUGGAUGUUAUGGCUUCUAUUGCUCACAUUAAUUCCUCUGGUAUUUAGUUAAUUCUUGUUUCCUUGCUGAUGCAUAUACAUGGCACCUUAGGUUAUGGCAUUGUAAAAAAUAAAAUGGAAAGGCUA